UACGGAGGGUGCAAGCGUUAUCCGGAUUCACUGGGGUUUAAAGGGUGCGUAGGAGGGCAGGUAAGUCAGUGGUGAAAUCUCCAAGCUUAACUUGGAACUGCCGUUGAUACUAUCUGUCUUGAAUAUUGUGGAGGUGAGCGGAAUAUGUCAUGUAGCGGUGAAAUGCUUAGAUAUGACAUAGAACACCAAUUGCGAAGGCAGCUCACUACACAAUCAUUGACUCUGAGGCACGAAAGCGUGGGGAUCAAACAGG
rnacentral:rRNA from 1 species